CUCAGCGCCGCCGCCCCUUUGUUUUCCUCUCGCUCUUUUCCGAACCCUAUUCUCUUGCUGUUCCCAUUCCGAUCCCAGCCUCCUCUGAUCCUCCACUCCCAGUUUUGGCUGGCGAUCGGCAGGCUAUUGAGUCCUGCGACUGCAGUAGGCUGAGGCAGAUCGACACGAUUCUGAGCCGCAUAACCCUUUCGAUCCAAAAGCAAGCCUUGUGAACAAACUUUCCUACGGAAUGAGAUGUCCCAACUUAGCUAGAAGAAUUGAGGAUGAGUUUAACAUGAUUAUACUUAUCCAUGGAACUAUGGGAAGAAAGAAGAGAAAAAAAGUAUUAUACUCGUUUUGCAUGCAAGUUGGCAUGGGAGGAAUUGGAAAAAUAUUAUUCGAUCUGUUCCAGGAUUUUGUUCGACGGCGUCGUUGAUCUCCGGCGACGAUGUUGAUAUCCGACUGCGGAAGCGAGUGUCGGUAUGCCCAUCUCCUCUCUCGACCUCCCCCAUCUCCCCUUUCCCCUCUCUGGUUGCGUCUGGCCGAGUGGACGUUGCCAGGCAUGGGCGGCUGUUGCCAGGCGCGAUUGGUCGUGGCCUGGUCGAGUUUGGUCGUUGUUGCGUGGCUGAUCGAGUCUGGCCACCGUCGCGUGGCUGGCCGACUCUGGUCCGUGCCGCGUGGCUGGCCGACUCUGGUCCACGCCGCGUGGCUCGCCGCGUUUGGCUGCAGGUGGCCACGUUUGACUGCGGGGGGUGGCCAUGUUUGGCUACGGGUGGCCGCGUGGCCGGGCCUGGCAGCGGUUGGCCAAAUCUGGCCGUGGCCGGGUGUGGCCAUUGUUGCACACGUAGGGUGGCUACGACUGGCCACUGUGGUCGCGGCUGGACGCGGGGGAUGCGGCUGCCCAUGGUGGCAGUGGAUGGCCACGACUGCCCUUGGUAGCCGCGGCAACACGAGGUUUAUUAUUGUUUCAUUUUUUAUUUAAAAUUUGGAAGGUACUAUCUGAAUUCAUAAUGUUGUUUGUGUAUGUCUCAAUUUGUCGUGAUCUUAGUGUAGUUGAAGACAGCCGUAUUUGUUCUGUUCGAUAUUCCUAAGUUCAUUUAUAUAAAUUUACUUAUUUGUAUAUAAAGUUAAUUGUAAAUAAUUAUGUUAUAAUUGAUUAAU